rnacentral:rRNA from 1 species
AAUCAACGCUGGCGGCGUGCCUAACACAUGCAAGUCGAACGAGAAAGGGGAGCAAUCCCUGAGUAAAGUGGCGACCGGGCGAGUAACACGUGACUAACCUACCUUCGAGUGGGGGAUAACCUAGGGAAACCUGGGCUAAUACCGCAUAACAUCUUUGGAGUGGAAAUUCUGGAGAUCAAAGGAGCAAUUCGCUUGAAGAGGGGGUCGCGGCUGAUUAGCUAGUUGGCGGGGUAAUGGCCCACCAAGGCUUUGAUCGGUAGCCGGCCUGAGAGGGCGCACGGCCACACUGGAACUGAAACACGGUCCAGACUCCUACGGGAGGCAGCAGUGGGGAAUUUUGCGCAAUGGGGGAAACCCUGACGCAGCAACGCCGCGUGGAGGAUGAAGUCCCUCGGGACGUAAACUCCUUUCGACCGGGACGAUUAUGACGGUACGGGUAUAAGAAGCCCCGGCUAACUACGUGCCAGCAGCCGCGGUAAUACGUAGGGGGCCAGCGUUGCUCGGAAUUACUGGGCGUAAAGGGUUCGUAGGUGGUGCGGCAAGUUGGAAGUGAAAUCUCUGGGCUUAACCCAGAGGCUGCUUUCAAAACUGCCGCGCUCGAGUGCGAGAGAGGUCAGUGGAAUUGCAGGUGUAGCGGUGAAAUGCGUAGAUAUCUGCAGGAACACCCGUGGCGAAGGCGGCUGACUGGAUCGCAACUGACACUGAUGAACGGAAGCUAGGGGAGCAAACAGGAUUAGAUACCCUGGUAGUCCUAGACCUAAACCAUCGGAACUUGGGGUGUCCCGCGUAGGCGGGUCGUCCCGUAGCUAACGCGUUAAGUUCCGCGCCUGGGGAGUACGGUCGCAAGACUGAAACUCAAAGGAAUUGACGGGGGCCCGCACAAGCGGUGGAACAUGUGGUUCAAUUCGACGCAACGCGAAGAACCUUACCUGGGCUUGAACCGCUACUGACCAAGGGUAGAAAUAUCCUCUUCCCGCAAGGGACAGUAGUAGAGGUGCUGCAUGGCUGUCGUCAGCUCGUGCCGUGAGGUGUUGGGUUAAGUCCCGCAACGAGCGCAACCCUUACUCGUAGUUGCUACCCGCAAGGGAGAACUCUACGAGGACUGCUCCGGAUAACGGAGAGGAAGGUGGGGAUGACGUCAAGUCAGCACGGCCUUUAUGUCCAGGGCUACACACGUGUUACAAUGCACGGUACAGACUGUUGCGAACCCGCGAGGGGGAGCUAAUCGGCCAAAACCGUGCUCAGUUCGGAUUGCAGUCUGCAACUCGACUGCAUGAAGCUGGAAUCGCUAGUAAUGGCGUAUCAGAUCGACGCCGUGAAUACGUUCCCGGGCCUUGUACACACCGCCCGUCACAUCACGAAAGUGAGCUGUACUAGAAGUCGCGCAGCUAACCGCAAGGAAGCACGCGCCCAAGGUAUGGCCCAUGAUUGGGGUG